rnacentral:rRNA from 1 species
GAUGAACGCUGGCGGCGUGCCUAAUACAUGCAAGUCGAGCGGAGCGGGGACGGGUGAGUAACACGUGGAUAACCUCCUAUAAGACUGGGAUACCUUCGGGAAACCGGGGCUAACCCCGAUACUUCUCGUUGGAUCCUCGCUGCAUUAGCUAGUUGGUAAGGUAACGGCUUACCAAGGCAACGAUGCAUGGCCGACCUGAGAGGGUGAUCGGCCACACUGGAACUGAGACACGGCCCAGACUCCUACGGGAGGCAGCAGUAGGGAAUCUUCCGCAAUGGGCGAAAGCCUGACGGAGCAACGCCGCGUGAGUGAAGAAGGUCUUCGGAUCGUAAAAUUCUGUUAGUAGGGAAGCGGUACCUAAUCAGAAAGCCACGGCUAACUACGUGCCAGCAGCCGCGGUAAUAC